rnacentral:lncRNA from 1 species
CUCAAAUGGAACAUUUGCUUAGUUGGCACACAUUUGACAAGACACAAAAGGCCGUUUUAAAAAUAGGCAUCUUCAGGGCCUUGGUUGAUGUGUUCCACUGUGUGCCAGGUGCUUUAAAGUGUGUGUCUUGUUCUGUCUUCUUCUUCCAGACCGAACACUUGCCUUUGCAGACUCAGUUCCAAGACAGAGAGGUCGGCGGUCUCCAGCACUCUAAUGGACUAAAUAGCAGGAGAUUGGACUAUGAAGAUGAGAAUCCCGUGGGGGAAGACGGGACUCAGCAGAUGUACCCCCUUUACAGUCAGAUAUGCUACCAAGACCGGAGUCCUGGCAGACAUCAUCAAAGCAACGACCCUGACAGAGUCUACAUCAACCCGCGAGAACAUUACGUGUGAUUUCCCUCUCUUUCUGGUGGAUGUCCUGACAAACGUUUAAUCACAGACCGGGGAGAGAAACUGAAGCCGCUGGUCAUGAUUUUAUUCUCUUUCCUAUAAAACCACCCCAGUUUACCUGUAUCAGAAGUCGUGAUGAAUGGCUUGGAGCCAAUAGCGAAUUUCUUUCCUUCCUUAAGAGUUCCUUAGCCACCAGCUGUGUUUGUGAGCUUGACAGUAGCUUUGCGUGUUUCUGUGACGAUAGUGUUUAACUACUAACAUUGGGCCUGGAUGGCGUGUUCAUUCAAACAGAGCAUCCGCGUGCGAUGGCAGCCGUGAUUCUCCAGAAAGAAAGGCCCCAGCUGGGAGUGUUAGCCUUGCUCGGUCUUAGGCAGGCCAGCCUAUUCAUCUGUAACUCAGAUGAGCAGAAAGAGCUCACAAUCCAUCUCACUCAUCAUUUCGUCGGGAUUUGGCUUUCCCGGACGUGCUUACUGCAGUUACAGUACCUGUGCAAACAGGAGGCCUGGGGAAAGAGGCAGAAUGUGCUCUUUAUCCAGAACAACAACAACAAAGCGGUGGAAACCCUCAAGCCUGUGAUAACUGUAGUCCGUGUUCUUUCUUGAUCACUCGGGUCCCGAGGGAUACGUGUUUUGUGCCGUUCUCGGCCUGGUCUGGAUUAGAGCGUGCUCGCCCAGGUUCUGCUCUCGCCUGUCGUUCCCACAGUUCUGUUCUUUCCUAGCCAGAUUAGCCUAUUUCCCCCCUAUUAAAUUCUAAAAGCCUUGUCUAAGUGGACAGCCUUGAGCCCUGUCCCUCGUUUCUGUAGUAUUGUAUGUGACAAGCUCAGCCUGCACUGCUGAGAUUCCUCCCAAACUAAUCCCACCCACACGGGCUUCGGCCACCCCCGGCUGCCUCUACUUCUCAUCCGUAUUUUAUCUACCUCAGAAAAGCCUGCUGGAAAAUCACCAUGAAAUAACUCCUGCUCUUAAAAGCCAGGUAGAAAAUGUGAAAAUUUUUUUUGAAAAGU